rnacentral:rRNA from 1 species
AGAGCGAACGCUGGCGGCAGGCUUAACACAUGCAAGUCGAGCGGGCGUAGCAAUACGUCAGCGGCAGACGGGUGAGUAACGCGUGGGAACAUACCUUUUGGUUCGGAACAACCCAGGGAAACUUGGGCUAAUACCGGAUAAGCCCUUACGGGGAAAGAUUUAUCGCCGAAAGAUUGGCCCGCGUCUGAUUAGCUAGUUGGUGAGGUAACGGCUCACCAAGGCGACGAUCAGUAGCUGGUCUGAGAGGAUGAUCAGCCACAUUGGGACUGAGACACGGCCCAAACUCCUACGGGAGGCAGCAGUGGGGAAUAUUGGACAAUGGGCGCAAGCCUGAUCCAGCCAUGCCGCGUGAGUGAUGAAGGCCCUAGGGUUGUAAAGCUCUUUUGUGCGGGAAGAUAAUGACGGUACCGCAAGAAUAACGCCCGGCUAACUUCGUGCCAGCAGCCGC